rnacentral:rRNA from 1 species
AGAGUUUGAUCCUGGCUCAGGACGAACGCUGGCGGCGUGCCUAACACAUGCUAGUCGAGCGAGGACCGCACCUUCGGGUGUGGAGCCGAGCGGCGAACGGGUGAGUAACACGUGAGCAACCUGCCCCUGGCACCGGGAUAGCCCCGGGAAACUGGGAUUAAUACCGGAUAUGACCGCUGCUCGCAUGGGUGGUGGUGGAAAGGUUCCCCCUUGUGGGGUUCCGGCCGGGGAUGGGCUCGCGGCCUAUCAGCUUGUUGGUGGGGUGACGGCCUACCAAGGCGAUGACGGGUAGCCGGCCUGAGAGGGUGGUCGGCCUCACUGGGACUGAGACACGGCCCAGACUCCUACGGGAGGCAGCAGUGGGGAAUAUUGCGCAAUGGGCGGAAGCCUGACGCAGCGACGCCGCGUGGGGGAUGAAGGCCUUCGGGUUGUAAACCUCUUU